GAUGAACGCUAGCGGCAGGCCUAAUACAUGCAAGUCGAACGGUAACAUGAGUAGCAAUACUUGAUGACGAGUGGCGCACGGGUGCGUAACACGUAUGUAAUCUUCCCACAACUGGGGGAUAGCCCGGAGAAAUCCGGAUUAAUACCCCAUAACCCAGCGAGGUGGCAUCACCUUUCUGGUAAAUCUCCGGAGGUUGUGGAUGAACAUGCGUCCGAUUAGCUAGUUGGCGGGGUAACGGCCCACCAAGGCUACGAUCGGUAGGGGUACUGAGAGGUUAAACCCCCACACUGGUACUGAGACACGGACCAGACUCCUACGGGAGGCAGCAGUAAGGAAUAUUGGACAAUGGAGGCAACUCUGAUCCAGCCAUGCCGCGUGAAGGGUGAAGGCGCUAUGCGUUGUAAACUUCUUUUGAACGGGAAAAAACCCCUUUACGUGUAAAGGGUUGAUUGUACCGUUAGAAUAAGGGUCGGCUAACUUCGUGCCAGCAGCCGCCGUAAGAC
rnacentral:rRNA from 1 species